UACGGGGGGGGCAAGCGUUGUUCGGAAUUACUGGGCGUAAAGGGCUCGUAGGUGGCCAACUAAGUCAGACGUGAAAUCCCUCGGCUCAACCGAGGAACUGCGACGGAUACUGCUUGGCUUGAGUCCCGGAGAGGGUAGCGGAAUUCCCAGUGUAGCGGUGAAAUGCGUAGAUAUUGGGAGGAACAUCGGUGGCGAAGGCGGGUCUCUGGGCCACUACUGACGCUGAGAAGCGAAAGCAUGGGGAGCGAACAGG
rnacentral:rRNA from 1 species